AUUGAACGCUGGCGGCAUGCUUUACACAUGCAAGUCGAACGGUAACAGGGUGCUUGCACCGCUGACGAGUGGCGAACGGGUGAGUAAUGCAUCGGAAUGUACCGUGUAAUGGGGGAUAGCUCGGUGAAAGCCGGAUUAAUACCGCAUACACCCUGAGGGGGAAAGUGGGGGACCGAAAGGCCUCACGUUAUACGAGCAGCCGAUGUCUGAUUAGCUAGUUGGUGAGGUAAAGGCUCACCAAGGCGUCGAUCAGUAGCGGGUCUGAGAGGAUGAUCCGCCACACUGGGACUGAGACACGGCCCAGACUCCUACGGGAGGCAGCAGUGGGGAAUUUUGGACAAUGGGCGCAAGCCUGAUCCAGCCAUGCCGCGUGUCUGAAGAAGGCCUUCGGGUUGUAAAGGACUUUUGUCCGGGAGCAAAUCCUAGUGGUUAAUAACCGCUGGGUCUGAGAGUACCGGAAGAAUAAGCACCGGCUAACUACGUG
rnacentral:rRNA from 1 species